UUUAUUGUAUUAUUAUUUAUGUUAUUGAUUCUGUCACUGAUGCUAUUAUUAUUACAUUUAAGGGGUAAUUUAUGAUUUUUUAAAUUAUAAAUAAUAUUUGAAAUAAGAGGAGAAAAAAAUAAUUCCAACACAUUGAGGAUUCACAAAAAUAAGGUCAAACUUGUCUGAAAAAAAUAAAAAUAAUAAAUAUAUAUGUAUAUAUAUAUAUAUAUUUAAUGGUUGUUUAGAUAAAAGCAUGAUGACUAAUUUUUUAUGUUUACUAUUAACAGGUGGGAAACAUAAAUAUAUAAAUAUACAGAAGUAAAUACACGCUUUAUCUCUUUGAGUAGUCCCACAACUAAACAUGGACUGGGCUUUUCUCUCUUGCUUCCUCGCUUAAGUAUCGAUUGAGCUGUGCAGUAUUACAGAAACACUUGAAUCUCAGGUGGCAGGAAUGUGUACAAUUGAUCUCUUCCACUGCGGCUCCCAGCAGUGGCUUUUUGCUCCACAACACAGAGCACCACAGGAAGAGCUGGGAGAACACACUGAAACACAAUCGCUACAGACUAAGAGGGGCUGUCCCAGUCUGCCCUGUUCACUGUCACAAUUUAUUGUAGUGCUGUGAGUCUCAUCCGCCGCUCUGCAGCUACCCUGAGAAUGUGCUUUCAGCGUACAAUAAACACACUCAUAGGAGAGAUUCAUAUGUGCUGCAUCUUCUGAGCUCAACACAAACACACUCCUACAUAUUUUGAUUUAUUCUUAACAUUUUAUCUAAUGUUUUUAUUUCAGUGUUGGUUGUUUUCCCCAGCGUCUGAGCUAAAUGGCUGAAUGGCCUUUUGCUGCAGGGUCUGGAGAGGAUGGGAACCAUCAGCAAAGAAACAUUACUCUCUCUAGCUUCCUUCAGUGAGCAGGUCAGGUUGAGAUGAAGCUGCAUGGAGGCGAUCACAGGAAGCUGGAGUCCCCUCCUACAUCUUCUGCCAUGUGCUGUCAGCCCCCCUGAGUCGAUACAAACCGUAGCCUGGGGCCCGGCCUGGACUCCCCACUGAGGUUCUGGCCCACCGCUGAGAGAUCAAAGACUCGCGGAGAACAAUAGUGAGCCCCACUUAGCUGGCCGCAGUUCACUUUCCCCCGGACGCACAGCCACACCUGCCCACACUGUCAAUCACACUCCGUUGAUGGACCUGCUCAAAGGCCUGGCCACUUCCUGCAAGAACAUAUUUCUGUGGUGCUUUUACACAUAUUUAUAUAAUUAUGCACAUUUAUUGUCUAAAUCACAACUGCAACUUUGGUCAGCAAAGUGCAUCCACCUCUGACUUAUAAGAUAAGCAUCCAUUCUCCAUGCAGGUGAAGUCCACAACAAAGGGGCUUCAAGAUUUGUUUCCUCCAUCUAGACCUCAAGCAGACAAGUUUGGCAGUUUGGUGAUGAUACAUUAUGAGAUUAAUACUUUCAGAUUUUAAGAAACAAACAAACAAAAGAAAUGAAACACUGAUUUUUUUUAAACCCUAAAGGUUGAAAAUGUAUUUUUUGUGUGAGUUGCCAAUCAGCUCUGCCUUUCAUUUCCUUAAUAUUGCCUGUAAUUGUAUUUCAUUGUAAGAAAAAAAGUGAUUCUUGGUUUUAUAUUUAUAUAAACCUUACCCUAAUUUGCGUUGUCACUUUCCUCCAGCCAUUUCAUGCUGGUUUUAUCUUCCUGUGGUUCUCAUCGUACUUCCUGUGGAAAACGGAGCCUGUCUGCUGCGUGUACACAGCUGGUUGGAAGACAAGACCUCCAGAUUGUAAGUACAAACAUCGAGCAGGAUUUUUCAGGCCUGUACACUCUCACAGUUAUCACAGACGAGCAAUCAAAGUCUUCUAGGAAAUAUCUAUCCUGCCCAAAACCAGACACCUUUUUUCUCUUAUUGCUGCUCCUGUUUGUUCUCCAUUGAAGUUGUGCUUUGCUCUUAUGAGGUUUUGGAGAUUGUCUUUGCAUAGUUUAUUUUUAUGGCACAGCGAUCUGGAGACUAUCCAAAUGUCAAGGUCAUUUAUCUUGCAGUUCAUCCGCUCCUUGGCUUUUGUGUGGUGAGAAAGGGAGGCACAGGCCCAUAUUGCAUUUCAUGACCUAUUGUGUCAAAUGAGUACCCAGACAAACAGGUGGGAGCCCUAAUGUGAGCUCCUCGUGGACCAGACUUUCCAAACUUGAGGCUCCCUGGCCCAUCCUUUAAUAAGGCACUCAUGCUUGCAGAACGGCCUCAGUGCUCUGUUUCGCUCAUCGUUAGAUGGGAACCUUCAGGGAUGCUAAUGAACAUACAGUGAGGGUUUGUCUCAUGCACAGUGCUCCCGCUAUCUGCGUCUUGCAGUUUAUCAUCACCACUGAAAUUGCAAGGCCAUUUUACUGGGCUUUUACUACAAGGGGGACAUUAAGCCCAUUGUGAUGCUAAUUCUUUAAAAUUUGAUGUCUAGGGUUUGUUCUUUCAGGUCAGAGUAGGUUUAUGAGACUGGGUCUUUUGACAGAGUACAAGCACCUUUUUUGUUAUCGCAGAAAAACCUGCAGUCAAGGGUUGUCCUCAUUGCCUCUAAAGGCAAAUUUAAUUUAAUGUGCAUUUCCAUUUUACAAUGAAUCACAUGUUUCCUUGUUUUGUACAGUAGAAUGGAGACAGAUCGUCUUUCUUUGGUUUUAAAGAACAGCUUCAAGAUUAAGUAGGCUGAUUGUGGCCCUUUCACCAUCAGAAAUACGGUUUGGUAACCCUAGCCAGGCCUGUCUGCUCUGGGGCUGAAACACACACAGAGUUGGGGACACUCUCUGUUAAUGUCAUCUCACAGAUUCAAUUUCCUCAUUGCAAUCUUACCACAAGUCCCACAACCUCUGACACAUAUUCUUAUUCCUUCUCACAGUGUCAAAGCAUGCUAGUGAGAUGGAAAGAUAUUCUGCAGCCGCAGAGAUAUUGAUAUCGAGCGUCAAGAUGGGAUGUCUGAGGGACUAGGAAGAAGCCCUUCAGCCGCUUGUCAGGUGUGUUUGAUUCCAUAGGUGCACCGGAGAGAUGUCUCGAGUUUAUUGAAUUUGUCAUUUUACCCUGGGAGUGAAAAGGGCACCUGUGUGCUGCCGUAAGCCCCAGCGCCAAGACCGCCACCCACAUCACAUGAUGACAGCUGAUGUGCAGGGACAACCCUGAAGCUGUUGAUUUAUUUUUUUUUUUUUUUGAAAGCAGUCCAUCAGUCUCUGCGUACAUUAUUCAUCAGGGAAACAGCUGAAAGGAUAUUUACUUUGUCAAUUUUCUCAUAAAAGCCUCCUCAGGCACAAAAAAGUCACCCGUGGUUACAGCAAGAAAAAUGUAGCUAUUUCAGUGGCAGGUUCAGUGCUCUGUCAGGCUCAAAUUGAAGACUGUUGUAGUUGUGGAUACUGGCCACCCACAUCAGUGCUAGAUCAAAGCAAUGGCCUGCUACAGUGCCUGAAUAUUCAGUGACGUUACUGGAGUGUGAUAGGUUCUUCUACUCAGUCACUGACUGUGGGAAAAUGAGGAAGGUCUGAUAGAGAUUUUGCUCUGUUCUGUCUUUUAUGGGAUUUUGGGUUGCUGUACAGUGUAUCUCACAGGUCAAGAUCACAGGUCUGCCACCCACUCCUUUAAAAACGAUUCACUUCUUUAGUCAAGGUUGGUUUUCUCAUUGGACAUCUUGUUGUAACCAAGAGGAAAAUGGUUUCCUCCGUGAAAUGUGUAAUCAAAUGUAAGAUAAGAAAUGCAUUAGGUCAUGGCAAUUCCCACAAUGUGCUGUUUGAUAUGGAGAUGUCUGUGUGUCUGUGUGUGUGUCUGCGUAUAUAACCCAAUUGCACCACGAGAAUUAGAUGUUUGACUCCCACUGGUUCCACCGGCACUAAAACUGCAUCACUCAUCAGAUUAAAGCUCACACUAAAUGGCAUAUGUUAUGAUUACGUGAUUUCAUGGACGUGUAAGUGUGCGUGUGUUUUGUGUGUGGGGGUCUUUUUGUACAUGCCUUUCUCAUGCUCAGUUAAGUCUGUGCCACCUGUGAUUAAUAAAAAAUAUCCCAGAUCCAGCAGGUUAAUGUUUAAUCAAUCAACUGGGAGAGAAGCCUCUAAAUGGCCUAGUUUAUUUUUAACCACAGCAUCACAUUAAAUCCACGAGGUUUUUCACAGCCAGAACUCAUUAUUUUUGCUUUCAGCUAAUGUUUAUCAAUCUGUGGUGAGAAUAUUUAAUAGGAAAUAAUGUUUUCCUAUCAGGGAAAAGUAUGAAAGGUUUCAGCUAUCAAGAACAUAAUGUUUUGAAAUGAAGAAUGAAGGGCUAAAAUGUCACAGAGCAAGCUCAACAUGUACAGUAACUGACAGUGUAAAAAUCCAGCUUGUAUCAAGUGAUAGUGGUGAUAUUUAGUUUCUUUCCCUCAAUCCUUAUGUUAGUAAUAUUUGUAGCACUUCUUCUGCCAUUGUGUGUUUCCUUUCCACUGUGAGCUGCCACUGUGUGACUUGGCUGAAGCACUUGCGCUAUGAAAUCAACACCCCACUCUCUAGCAAUAAUACUCUCUGAGGCUUGGCCAGUUUACUAAAUAAUCGAUCCAAAUAAAAGCAGCAGAUAAAAUUGACUGACCCUCAUAUACUUAAUUAUUGCAGCUAUUUGACCAAAUAGCAUUUUUCAGGAUGCUCUGUGUCACAGGCCAUCAAUAUUCCUUUAAUCGCUGUUAGUUAUUGCCCUACUUUGUUACUGCUGUGGAUGGCCAGUCUCCAGUGGUCAGUUUGGCCCAGGGCCGUGAGGGAAUGAGAUGCUAAAUGGUUGCGCAAACAAUUUGAUUAUGCUGUUUAAUUCCCGUCAUAUAGAUCUGCCGGGCCUGCUGAUGCAGUCAUUUCUGUGAGGCUGUACAGCAGAGUGCUGACCUGCCUGCCUCACACCACCGGCCUUGAAAGAGCUGUUUUUUCCUCCAUGACCUCAGCAUCAAUAGUGGCUGCUCCCUAGGUAUGGACCGGUGUCUUGCAGGUUUCACCUCUUACCACUAACCUUUCAGCGCUUGUAUGAUGGAGCUCUGUUCAACAUCCAGUCAAGUUCAAAUGUUGAAAGCUCUGGCAUGCUGCGUUUGGCCCUCAGUCCUUACCUAGCUGAACCAAGGUGCUGCAACACAUGGUGAGUUUAGGGUUAACGCUCCCCACCGAAACAGACCGCCUCAGCCAAGUGAAAAAUGAGAAAUGAGCAGGGCAAACUCUCAGGCCCAGUUGCCCAGUUCCCAAAAUUAACAUUUCAAUUCAAAACCAAUAAUAACGCAUUGUGUCUGGUAUGAAUGAGGGCUGCUGCAAAGGGAAGGCGAUACCUCCUGUUCCUGUGUCAAUGAAAAAGCUCCUUCAUCUUCUGCUAAAGGGCCCACACAGUCUGAGGUCAGCCAGUCAGCCUUGGUUACACUGCACAGGCAUGCCUGGGUGGACGGCUCGAGCUUCCCGGUGCCUUUACAAAAGCCAGGAACUACAAACACACACAUGCACACACGCACAUACACACACCUACACAGGCAUACACAGAAACACUCAUGUCAUGCUCUGCAUGCGGUUGAUGGCUCUCACGUUUUUCCAAGGACUACUUAGCAUGUUGAAAGAAAAGUACACUGUGUUCUUUGAAAUUAGUUGCUAAUAGCAAUAUCGUAUGACCAUUUAAGCUUUGGCCAGAUAUUGUCAUUCAAAACAUAAGAAUUGAAGGAGGGUAAAUAAUCUCUACAUGUGCAUUCCUCUUACUUCUCCCUCUACUGUUAGGCCUACAUUCAUACAGUGGUAACACCUUAUCUACUAGAAAUUUGGUCUAAAACGUGCUGUAUCUUGAGUGUGAAUACUGUAUGUCUCUGUUCACAUAAACCCUCUGAUAUGCUGAUUGACAGGAUAUCUCAGGCAGUUAGAAGGGGCCACAAACGAACACACUGUGUCAGGGGUUUUGGGCAUCUUGGCUUUUGAGAAUGGGAUUGGGAGCCAGCCUCUGCGGCUCUGCCAAGAAGGUGUCAGAGCCGACCUCUGCUACAUGCUCUCCUCCAUCAGAGAGCAGAUUACCAGUCUGGGAGGUGAGAGAGAAGGAUACAGGGCAAUUUCAAGAGAGCAUUGUGGCUAUUUCGUCCGAGACUGAAGGGGUGCAAGAGCCUAUCUGCAGGCUGUCUGUUCUAAGCGAUGCAAGCUGUGUUAGUGUGAGUGAUUCCUUACAUGUACUGCACUGUCUACAGGCAGGUGGCUUGUCCUGGUGGGUUAAUCUUCCACAGCUGAUGUUUCAUUUUUAUAUUCUAGUGUUUAAGGUAUUUUACACUAAAACAUUGGUUUGGGACAGUACCAUCAAUAAAAUCUCAAAAGAUCAAGUACUA